GAACGAAGGAAGCUAGGUCAUGAGCACAAAAAGUGAUUCGGGUCUCUAGGCCUGCCCUCUUAUGCUUUCAGGCUUUGAUUAGGGGGCAUGGUUCCACGACAUACGU